rnacentral:lncRNA from 10 species
GGAAUACCUGAGACUUGGUAAUUUACAAAGAAAAGAGGUGUAUUUGGCUCACCAUUCUGCAGGCUGUACAUGAUGCGUAGCACCAACAUCUGCUUCUGAUGACAGUCUUAAGAAGCUUCCACUUACAGCAGAAGGAAUUGAGGAUGAUCUCUAACCAACAGCCAGUGAAGAACUGAAGCCUUUAGUCCAACAACACACAAAGAACUGUAUCCUGCCAACAACUACAUGAGUGAACUUGGAAGUGGUUCCUUACCCAGUCAAGCCAUGAGAAGAAGGCAGUUAUCAUCUUGACUGUAGCCUUAUGAAAUACCUUGAGCCAGAGGACUCAACUAAGAGGUAUCUAGAUUUCUAGCCCACAGAAACUGUGAGAUUAUACAUGUUUGUUGCUUUCAGCCACUAGGUUUGAGAAGAUUUGUUAUACAGCAAGAAUUAGUUAAUAUAGUGGUUCUCAUUCUUUAAGUAUUUAUAACAGAUCUUUUAAACUUAACAUAAUUUUCAUUGUGCUUUCUUCAUUAAUAUUCACAAUUUUUUGCCCAGGAACCCCUGAAUACUACAUAUUUUAAAACCUGCUAUGCCAAAUAUGAUUGUUUGAAAGGCGAAAGGGAUAUAUAUGGAUUAAAUACCCAGAAAGAUUUGGGUUUCAAGCCUCUGCUAAACCUAAAAAUACAGAAAGAUAAAAGGAGGAUGAACCCCUUGGGUUUCUGAAUGAAUCUGUGUAGUGCCCGAACAGGUCAACAAGUAUUAGAAGAGAGAUGGGUGCUCUAAGAAGACUGAAGGCUAAGAUGAACGAAUAAUACUUUUCAUAAGACAGAUUUAUACUAAGACUGACAUUUAAAAUUGAUAUAUGAACUACUGAGUCUUCCCUCCCCAACUAAGAUUAUAUUUCUGCUAAAUAAACUAUUGCUUUUUAGAGCAUUAUGAUGUUUCUUCAGUAUAGCCAAGACCAAUUUUCUUGAAAUUCCUACUAAAAUGCAAACUACUGCUAAUAUAGCCAAGACUUCUGAACAACGUUAUUUAGCCAAAGUCUUUUCAUAUCAGAUUCUAAUCUAGUCAUAAUAUGUUUGACUGCUAGCUAUGUUUCAGAGAAAUCUUAUUCAAGUAAAUAUUAAAUGAGAAUAAAAGUCACUGCAAAAUCCAAACUGAAUAUACAACGUAUAUCAGAAAUGCUAAAAUACCAUAAUCACUUAAACAGAUAAUCAUCUUUAUGCUUCAGUCCAUGAAUUUCAAAACUGAAUGAUAUUAACCUUCUUUUAGAUAUGAAGAAAGAGGCACCUAGAGGUAAUGCUUAGGGUCACUUAGGACAACUUCAGAAUGAUCCAGUUGCUGGUAAGAAAAUCUGAGCUUUAAAAAGUGGUGCCUUAGGCUCUGAGAGGCCACUUCUCAAUUUGCUGGAAUGGUUCACAUGUGGAUAUGUGGAUCCUCAGUGUCUCCUUUUUUAAUUUAUUUAUUGACAUUCAUUUGUUGUUCUGCUUGGACUUGCUGCAAAUAUUUCUUGGAAAACUUGAUUUAGAUAUCACAGAUCUCACAUCUUUACUGAAAUGUAUAGUGUGUCUUUUUCCUACUUUUAUUUAAUUGGAAGGUUCCAUUGUCAGGUUUUAACAAAUGUGGUCCACACCUAAAACUGACACAUGCUUCUGACUAUGAGAUUUUGCAUCUCUGGCAAAUGGUGAGACCAAGCCUCGGAGAUAGCACCAGAAUGAGAUGUAUGAAGAAUAGUGAAACUAGAGACACAAUAUCUCACGAAGCACAUGACAAGGUCUAACCCUUGCAAAAAAUGCAGGUACUAUAAUUAAACCAAUACACACAGUCCUCCUCUCUUGGCUUCAUGAGCUUAGGGAUUUCUUAAGAACCCAAUGUUUACAUGGGUAAGUGAUCUAAAAGCAGUAUUGGUUUUAUAUUUUAAUAAAUCAAUGUUGCAUACCUUUAAAUGGAAUCUUUUAAUUUUUGUCAGAAAGUAAGGAAAUAAGAAUGCACCAUAAUAAUAAAAUGCUACGUGUACUGUUUUAUCUUUGUAAUCUAUUUUCAAAAUGAUGACCUCACACAGCCCUGUAGAUAAGCCACUAUACCAACUUGAUUCUCAUU